GGAGCAUGUUAGGGGAGGAGACGAAGUCAGUGAGUGCUCGGGCUCUAGACUGAAAGGGACUUGACUCUGAACCCAGUCCUGAAGCCUUAGGUGUUUGCCGUGCUGCACUGCCGUGUAAGGACCACGUUCCCUGGAGUUUGGAUAUGCUAGUGCCCGUGGAGCAAUAAACCAGCAUUGUGAGUUGCAGCCAGUUUUGGCAUUUUUGAGACACUUUUUUUAAGUUAACGUCGUAGUAAACCAGAUGGUUAAUGACCACAUUCAUUUUCAAAAGUUCCAGUGACUGUGGAAUAAUGCAAUGAGACUUUAUAAAUCCCUAAUACAUUAAAGAACAAUUUCUUCUCUUUCCUUUUACUCUUAGGCUUUGCCACACCAUAAAGAGUAG
rnacentral:lncRNA from 1 species